UUUCCCCACAGGUCCUGGUGUGUCAGAUGGAGUGGAGAUGCAGGAGCAGCGCAGGGAAGCCGCCCACUAGCCAAGCAGAUUAGAGAUCGUGGAAAAUGUGGAGGAGAAAGCAGCCGCUGCAGAACCUGGGAGGCAGAACCCUCCAGGGAGAGACUCAGGACCUGGUGCAGCUCCCGUGAGUGAUGGCAACUCUGUGCCAGCUGAGGACGCAGAGAAGGGCAAGGUAAAUGUGCCUCCAAGAACAGGCCCUCCUUGCUCUGGGCCAUCCUGGGUGCCACACCCCCUGCCCAGCUCUGUGCCGACAAUGAUUGUUUUUUUGUCAGCCCCACUUCCUCCACCCUGGAUUUCCCCCUGGACAUUUAGCCACCCUGGAUUUCUGCGGGACCUCCGCCUCCACUACUUGGUGACACUCAGAUGCAGCCACACACUGAAGGGCUCAUCAGAGGGCAGGAGGUGAAGACAGACUCAUAUAAAACUGAAGGUCGCGGGCCUUCCCCUGUGGCGCAGCGGUUGAGUGCUGGGCCGCGAAGCUGCCUGCAGCCUCUGCAGUGCCAGUUCUAUCCCCAGCCCCCAGUGAUCCACAUGGCGCACAGACCUCUCCUGCCACGCCUGCUGCUUCCCUCAGCAGUGUACUUCAGUCCUUCUGCCUGUUCUGCUCCCUGCUCUGGCUCUGGUGGAUUCUCUCACCCUCCCGAGCUUCUGACUGUACCCAGUGCUUGUAUAAAUAAAUAAAUCUUUAAAAAAACAAAAAAAC